rnacentral:lncRNA from 1 species
UCAUUUUUCCUCAAUAGUAAUCAAAAGUAUACCCAAAAUUCAAGAAGUUAACAACGAUUUCUUCCAAGAUUUUCAUUUCCGUUGAAGAACUCAUGUCCUAGGACUGUUUCUCAUUCUACUUGCUCACCAAAUUGGGUUAGUUUCUCUUUCUAUUUCCUAAAAUUUUGUGAUAUUUUGUGGGUUUGUUGCUUUUUUUUUUCUCUGUUUUUUUAUCUAUGUCUAUAUAUAUGAAUGGUUAAUCUUGGGUAUUUGAGUCCGUAUUUAUUACCUAGUUUGGAUGUGUGUUAAAGUUGAAUGUUCGACUUUUCUGGUGACAAAAGCUUCUACGGUUGAAGCUAUGAAGCGAAAGUUGAUAUUGCUUAUCUCACUUCUAUGUUUAUAUUGGGUGAGACUUGGCAGGGCUAUCCAUAGAUGAUUUGUGUUUUGGUUUGUGUCUCCUUUAUGGUAGUUAUUUAUGGUAGUUACUGUAUGAUAUUAUUGCAUGCUAUUUUAUUUAUGUUUUUUAUGUUUGGUAGUUAUUUAUGGUAGUUACUGUAUUAUAUUAUCACAUGCUAUUUUAUUUAUGUUUCUUAUGUUUAAAUAAUUAUUUACGCUAUUUUUGCUGGAAUUACUAAUGCUCUCUUGUUUUUGUCUUUCCUUUCCUUCACUGAGCCGGGGGGCAAUUNNNNNNNNNNNNNNNNNNNNNNNNNNNNNNNNNNNNNNNNNNNGUCUUUCCUUUCCUUCACUGAGCCGGGGGUCGAUUGGAAACAGCCUUUCUGCCCUUUCGGGUAGGGGUAAGGCCCGUCUACAUAUUACUCUCCCCAGACCUCACUUUGUGGGACUAUACUGGAUAGUUGUUGUUGAUUUUUCUGUUUUUGCUGCUUCUAGGUUGAGUAGAUUUUUUUUAAUCAUUGAAUUUUGAAUAUCAUUAAUAAAUUAAAAUUAAGCUAAUAAAAGUAGUUUUGUAUAAUUAAAUUUUUGUCUAAACCUUUUAAUAGGUAGUAUCUUUUAUUUUUUGUAUUUAACUACUGAAAUUAUUUUAUUUUGUAAAGCAACUACCUAAUUAUUAGUAGCAAUUACUAUUCCUUAUACGAGAUGUGGGUUGAGAGUCUUUACAUAGUCAUAUAUGGGAACUAAAAUUCUUUGUUACUGAAUAUAUUUUUUCUAGUAUUUGUACUCGGCCAGAACUGUUCAAGACAUGCUUAUAUUACUUUGUUUGUUCUGAUUAUUGAUGACAUUACAUUUUUUACUUAUUAAUUGGUUGGAUUUUUUAUUGUAGAAAAUAAAAACGGAUAAAAGUUGGUUAAAUAUUAAGAAUAGAUGUGACAUAAGGUAUAUUGAAGGGAUAGACAACUUGUUUGACUAAGUAUACAGUCAACCAAAUGUGAGUGUCGUGAUUUGUUGACUGGUAAAGGAUGUAAAAAUACUGUGUUCAAGGCAAGAAUCCAAGUAGGAAAAGACUUGUGGGGUAAGGAGUUUUGGGAGAGUUACAAGGUAUGGGACUUGCAUGAAGAAGUAUUAGUAAGAGUUGAAAAUUCUAAUGCUGCAAACAAUGAUGAAAUAGACGAUGAAAAUUUCGAAGAGGAUAAUAUUCUUGAAAUGAUUCAUGAUGCUUUUGAGUAUACAAACAUGGAGGAUAUGAAUAGUCUUCCAUAGGACAAUGAAGAGCUAAAUGUGCAUGGAAGAAAUUUCAAUAAGUUAUUGGAAGAUGCUGAAACAGAGAUUUAUCCUUGAUGUAAGAAAGUGUCGAAGUUGUCUUUUGUAGUUAGACUACUUCACUUAAAAUGUCUUAAUCAUUGAAGCAAUAAAUUUAUCGAUGCAUUAUUGAGCUUCUUUAAAGAAGCUCUUAUAGAAAGAUCAUUUGUACCAAAUUCUUUCUAUGAAGCGAAGAAAGUACUUCAAGACUUAGGCCUGGGGUAUAACAAAAUUGAUGCAUUUGAGAACGAUUAUAUCGUAUAUUGGCAUGAGUAUGCCUAUGUCGAAUCAUGUCCUAAGUGUAGUAAGCCAAGAUGGAAGUCAAAAGAAAAUGGAGGCAAGAAAGUAGCUCAUAAAGUCUUGUAGCAUUUUCCAAUCAAACCAAGACGAGAUUGUACAUGCCAAAAGAGACAUAAAAAAGAUGAGAUGGCACAAAGAGGGAUGCAUUGACGACAGUGUCUUGAGACAUCCAUCGGACUCCAUGACAUGGAAAUCCUUUGACGAUCGGCAUCUCGCUUUUUCAGAAGAACUAAGAAACAUUCAAUUAGGUUUAGCAAGUGAUUGGUUCUAACCUUAUGGGAACAUGAGUACUAAUCACAAUAUUUGGCCAGUCGUACUCGUUCCGUAUAAUUUUUCACUAUGGUAUUGCAUGAAUAAUUCAUAUUUCAUGAUGACAUUGCUUAUUCCCGGAAGUAUAUAGAUGUAUACUUGCAACCAAUGAUUGAAGAAUUGAAAUAAUUGUGGGAUGGAGUGGGAGACUUAUGAUGCAUAUUCACAAUCUAAUUUUAUGAUGCGUGCAUCCUUCAUAUGGACAAUCAAUGACUUUCCUGCAUAUGAAAACCUCUCGGGAUGGUCAACUAAAGGUAAUCUUGCAUGCCCAUAUCGACAUAAAGAUACACACACGAUUUCCUUACGUAGUAAGUGGUGUUAUAUAGAUCAUUGUCGCUUCCUUCUAAUGAACCAUCUGUGGUGCAAAAAUAGGAGGUUAUUUGAUGAAAAAGUGGAAAUGGGAGUUGCACCUAGUUCAUUAUCAGGUGAUGAAGUACUUUCGCAAUUACAAGGCUUGGGUAAUGUAACUUAUGGCAAAGGUCAAAAACGGAAGCAUGAUGUAUCUAACAAUGCUUAUAAUUGGAGGAAGAAAAAUAUAUUUUUUCAAUUGCCUUAUUGGGAGACUCUUAUGUUACGACAUAACCUUGAUGUGAUGCAUAUUGAAAGAAAAUGUAUCCGAUAACAUUAUAUCAACUGUAAUUACUAUGGUUGGAAGACAAAGCACACAUUGAAAAGUAGAUAUGAUUUGGUUGACCUUGGUAUCUGGCAAGGGUUACAUCCAAUUGAGGAUGGGAAUAAUGUUUUGUUACUGCAAAAUGUUAUGCAUUGCCCCCACAAGGAAAGUUAAAGGUAUGCAGCUUCUUAGCUAAUUGAAAAGUUCUUGAUGCCUUUUAAUCAAACAUUUCAAGGUGUGUCAACAUAAAUUAUAAAAAAGUACAUGGAUUGAAAUUCCAUAAUUACCAUGUAGUAUUGCAAGAUAUUUUUCGAGUAGCAAUACAUCGUUUUCUACUCAAGGAGGUGUCUAAACCAAUCAUUGAGGUUAGGCAAAGUUUUCAAGAAUUUCUGUUCAAAGAUCCUGACAAUUGAAAAUUUUAAUAUCCUAAAAGUUGAAAUUGCUGUCACAUUAUAUAAACUUCAAUUUAUUCUUCCUUCGGCAUUCUUUGAUGUCAUGAUUCAUAUGCCAAUUCACUUGGAAAGAGAGGCAAAGCUUGGUGGACCUUUUUAAUAUCGAUGGAUUUAUCAUUUUGAGAGGUACUGCAUUUUAUAUAUUUCAAUGACAUACUUUUUGAAUGAUACAUUAUAUUGACAAGUCAUUUGCAUACAGGUACUUACGGAUUCGGCAUAAGUACCUGUAAUAACCAUCACAUUUAAGAUGUGGCGCUCAACCCAAUCCCAUAAUAACCUCACGACACAGGGCCUUGGCCCUACUUAGUAAGAAAUCUCUAAAAUUCACUCGAACACAGUAAAAUAUGACGCUCAGUUCAAAAUAUCAUUUAAGAUGUCAAAACAGAGUAAACAUGACUAAGUUAUGGAAACAUUAGAAUAUAGCAUGAUUGAGUACAAAUAUAAAUUCAAAACUUAAGGAAUAGUAGUAAAAAUCCCCUAAGGGUCCAAAAAGGUUGGCACGAGGCCCAAAUAUGAUAUUCAUCCCAAAAUAUAGUAAUACUUUUCAAAGCACAAUGAUAUUAAACAGGUUUUAAUCAAAUAUGUGACUUAACAGUCGUACGGGACGAACCAAGUGACAAUCCCUAAUGUUGCAAGACUCCACGCUCUUUUUCUAGCGUGUGUGUCACCUCACGGUAGCACAACAAUGGGAAACACAAGGUUUCAUACCUUCAGGACAAACAAUUACAAUCAUUACUUACCUCAAUCCGGUUCAAACUCUAGCCCACGAUGUCUUUGCCUCUCGAAUUGGCUUCUAAAUGUUCCAAAUCUAGCCAAAAGCAGAUUCAUACCAUCAAAAUAUGCUAAGGGAACAAAGCCCAUUCGAAAAAAAUCCAAUCUAAACAAAAAAUCCAGAAAUAGGCCAAUCCUGACCCCCAUGCCUGCAUCUCGGAAUCCGACAGAAUUUACAUCAAUAGAAUUCUUACACCCUCACGAAUCCAUACAUACCAAGAACAUCAAAAUCGGACAUUAAAAGGCCCCUCAAAUUCUCAAUUUUCACUCUCCAACUUCAAGCCCUAAUUUCCCAAUUUUUAGGCUUUAAAUUCCGUAAAUUUCAUAUUUAAACAAGUAAGAAUCAACAUAGAAUCGAGUGUAGAGUUCAAAAAUCUUACCCCCAAGUGUUCCCCUUCGAUUCCCUCUUCAAUCCUUCUCAGAAGCUCCAAAAACCGUUCAACAAUGGAGAAAAUAAACCAAAAAUCGUGAAACUCACUUUUAAACAUUCUGCCCCAGGUAAAAUUUCCUUCUUCGUGAAUGAGGUCAAAGCCUUGCGUUCGCGAAGCACAAGUAAUUCACAGCUCAAAUUUCCUCUCACGCGAAUGCAAACACUACCAUCGCGAACGUGAUGCCUUACUUAGCUUAGCCUACACAAACGCAUUGCUUCAAUCGUGAACGCGAUGCUUUAGGGCCUGGUGCCCAAGUCUGAUUCACCCUUCUACGCGAACGCGAACCAUGCCAUGCUUUCAUGAUGCACAAUCGGACUCAACCUUUGCGAACAUGGGACCAACAUCACGAAUGCAAAGGGUAACUGGACUGCCUCACUUAACAUCUCGCGAACGCGAAGAGCAAAACUUUGCAACACUGAACUGAAGGAAUCUGCAACUUUCAAAAUAGGAAUUUGAUUUGUUUAACCACGCGAAACUCACCUGAGGCCCUCAGGACCUCAACUAAUCAAGCCAACAUAUCCCAUAACCUCAUUCAAACUUGUUCCAAUAUUCGGAACGCUCGAAACAACAUCAAAACACCAAAAUCACAUCGGAUUCAAGCCUAAGAAUUUUAAAAACCUUCAAAUUUCGCUUUCGAUCAAAAGGUCUAUCAAACCUCGCUUGAAUGACCUGAAAUUUUGCACAUAUGUCACAAAUGACUCAACGGACCUACUCCAACUUCCAUAAUUCUACUCCGACCCCUAUAUCAAAAUCUUAUCUACCAACCGGAAAAUGCCAAAAUCCCAAUUUCACCAAUUCAAGCCUAAACCUUCAACGGACCUCCAAAAUACAUAAAGACUACACUCACAAGAUCGAAAUCAGCUAACGGAGCUAACCAAAUCAUAAAAAUUUCAAUCCAAGAUCAUAUACUAUCAUGUCAAAACUUGGUCAACCUUUUCAAAUUUUAUGCUUCAAACUGAGAAUUAUUCUUCCAAAUUCAUUUCGGUUACCCUGAAAACCUAAAUCGACGAUUUGCAUAAGUCAUAAUACAUCAGACGGGGCUAUUCAUUCCUGACAACUGACGAGCGAAGUGCAAAUGCUCAGAACGACCGAUCGGGUCGGUACAACCUCCCCCACUUAUUCAUACGUUCGUCCACGAACGUGCCCAGAGUUGUUCCAAAAGCCAUCAAAUCACUGUCAAACCUUACCAUGCACAUACUCGAGGGUGAUUCCACGUCACCCUAUCUCAUAUAGGUCCGAUAACACAAUUUAAAUGAAAUUUUACAAUCCAAACUAGCCCAUAAACCUUAGAACCACAUUUCCACUUCUGAACACAAAAUCAGAAUCUUACAUCUAUAUUCUAAAUAAGCCCGAACAAGCUGUAACAAACCAUACCCGAAGACUCAAAUGCCAUUACAUGAUAUACCACAUAACUCCAACACUCGUAGCGAUAGAUUCUAAUCACAACAGUUUCCCAAAACCACUGAAUACCGAUAAUAACUCUUAUCAAAUAAAGUCUCAUUCCAACACUUCUGUAUACUAUCAAUGAUAAAUGAAACAUGCAAUAAGUCAUAGCCAUUCCUCAGAUCAACCAUUCAUGAAGCCACUUCUCCUUUAGCAGGGACGAUAACAAAUUUCUAAGUCGAACCUUGAUAUUAUCCUUCCAACAUGCUGAAAUCAAAUCCCUUUGUAUUCAUUAUAGAUCCCAGCGAUCUCAUCUAAUCCAACACAACUAUUCUGAUGAGAUGACACAUCAAUACAAACUAAAGCCACAACUCGUGCAAUCCACACACCAAUAAGCAACAAUCCGAACAUACUCAAAUCAUGAAAAUGACUCAAAUGAAAGAGUUGUACCGCAAUCUCAUAAGUACCACCACACACAAUGCUGAGAACCCGUCACACUCGUAGAAGUAUAACAUAUGAAUCUAACCCGAAGGGUCACUCCUCCACAUAACUUGCUGCAAUGCGCGACCCUAUCCAAAUACUGGUCCACAUGAAACACCUCAAGUCAAUAUGCGCAAAAUUGACAACCACGCGCAAUUUGAUGCCUUGUACCAAAAGCAAUUCAUCAUAACCACGGCAAAGUAAUUGACAUAACAUUACAAAAACUCGAAAGGACACAAUCGAUACGCCCUCCACCGAGCAAUACCCAAUGCUCUUUCCGCUCGAAUUCCAUGGAGAGACCCCAAUAUAACCACACCACGUGUGCUUAUAACCAACACAUCCCAACGCCUCGCAACACGUAACGGUAACUCAUAGAUAUCUCCAGAUCACUAAUAAGCUCAAUAACAGUUGAAUUAACUCAACCCUCAAAAUUACAACUCGAAGUCAACCAAGCCGACUCGAUGUAGAACACUCAUCCAUAUUGUCCUACCCAUGAACCCCUUGUCAAGGAGUUCCUGAAGCUUCUACUUCAACUCUUUUAACUUCGCCAGCGCCACAUGAUACGGUUCCGGCACCAAUUCAAUACCAAAAUCAACAACCUUGUCCGGUGACAUGCUCGACAGCAGGAAACACAUCUAGAAAAUCCCUCACCACUGGAACUAAAUCAGCGGUAGUAGUCUCUGCAUUGACAUCCAUCAUGAAGGCCUAAUAAGAAGGAAAACCCUUCCUAGCCAUCCGUUGGGUCUUCAAAAAUAAAAACGAUUCUACUAGGAACAUAAUUUGUCAAACCUUGCCACUCAGUCCAUGGCAUUCCCGGCCUAGCUAACGUCGAUGUCCCAGUGUGACAUCUCAGAAUAACACAACACUGAGACAACCAGUCUAUACCAAAUAUCACAUCAAAAUCCACCAUAAUUAGCAACAAAAGAUCUACUCGGGUCCCAAACCUCCAAUAGUUACAAUACAAGACCGACAUACGCGUUCCACAAUCACGACCUAACCUGUUUAGGAUAACUCCCAAUCUCCAAAUCCAUACAGCACUUGAAUCACCAUAUCCAAUGCCACUCUACCGUCCGAAUAUACAACACACUUCUAGUACCCAAUCAUCCCACGAGGGGUACUCCUAUAAUUCUUUUGUGCCACCAAGGAAACUCGAAUAUCAGCAGUCGAUCAAACAAGAGACUGCCGUAAUACUAAUGAAGUAUCCUCAACUCAAACACAUCACCCUUUCUAAAAUGUAUAUUAUCAUCAAGACACACCAAUUAGUAAUAUCAUUUCCCUAAUCAUCUGAAGUUGCUCGUGCUGCCUUAGAAUCUUAUGACCUUUCUUUCCGAACUGAACCGUUACCUUACACAUGCAAAUCUUAAUCUUACAUAAUAUACUGCAUAUACCAUACCAUCCUAGGAUAAACAUGGAAACCCCAUAUCCCUUCCAAGCCACAAGCAACUACCUUCUCACUAGCCAAGAACAUUCCGUCGAUCCCAUCCAGAAGAAAAUCACUAUACAUCUCAUGCUCCUCAUGCUCGUAGAAAAUAUACUCCUCUAACUUUGGUAGAAACCUUCAAGAACUCUCCAAAUUUCAUUUGCACAAAAUAAACUGUCAGUGUCACGAUCCGGAUUUUCCCACCUUCGGGAGUCGUGAUGGCGCCUACUAAUAGGAGCUAGGCAAGCCAAUUAAUUUAACACUUCUCUUAACAACAUAAAAAAUACAAAGAAAAACAAGACAAUUAGUAUAAAAGCGGAAGUCUUAAGGCAUGAAUAACUAAAGCAAGUGCGGAAGUUCAAAUACAACUCUACCCAAAUCUGUUGUCACUAGCUCACGAACAUCUAAAGAGUGCUAAAUACAAAGUCCAAAAUAAAAUUAAACGAUGUUUGUUCCGGUACAAGGAUAAAAAAUGAUGAUCAACUAGAAGAGACUCCGGCCAUGCGAACGCCAGCAAGGCUACCUCGGAAAUCUCUGGAUUGGAAGGUCGCUCGCAGAAUGCUAGUGCCACCAACAUGCUGCUCCAACCCCGGGAUCUGUGCAAAAGAAUGCACAGAGUGUAGCGUCAGCACAACCCACCCCAUGUGCUGGUAAGUGCUUGGUCUAACCCCGGCAAAGUAGUGACGAGGCUAGAACCAGACUCCAGAUAAACCUGUGCAGUUAUAUANNNNNNNNNNNNNNNNNNNNNNNNNNNNNNNNNNNNNNNNNNNNNNNNNNNNNNNNNNNNNNNNNNNNNNNNNNNNNNNNNNNNNNNNNNNNNNNNNNNNNNNNNNNNNNNNNNNNNNNNNNNNNNNNNNNNNNNNNNNNNNNNNNNNNNNNNNNNNNNNNNNNNNNNNNNNNNNNNNNNNNNNNNNNNNNNNNNNNNNNNNNNNNNNNNNNNNNNNNNNNNNNNNNNNNNNNNNNNNNNNNNNNNNNNNNNNNNNNNNNNNNNNNNNNNNNNNNNNNNNNNNNNNNNNNNNNNNNNNNNNNNNNNNNNNNNNNNNNNNNNNNNNNNNNNNNNNNNNNNNNNNNNNNNNNNNNNNNNNNNNNNNNNNNNNNNNNNNNNNNNNNNNNNNNNAUGAAUGAAGGAAAACAACUAAAGCUGGGAGGGGGAAACAUGCUUGUGGGGGGUAUCAGAUAAAAACAAACUAUCAGGAAUAACAAAGGAAACUACAUCUGAUUUCUACAAACACAUAAUAAGGGAAAAUGAACUACUUUAACUCGUUCAAAUUCCUCUCGUUGCAGGCGUGCAACACGAUCCCAUUUACUCAUGUCAAGUGGUAGGCGUACCACACACUCCCAUUAUAUAAUAUUACGUGGUCGGCGUGCCACACGUUCCCAUUUUCAUAACGUCUCGUGGUCGACGUGCCACACGAUCCCAAUCAUAACAUCUCAUAGUCGGCGUUCCACACGAUCCCAAUCAUAAUAUCUCGUGACUGGUAUACCACACAAUCCCAUACAUAACAUCUCGUGGUCGGCAUGCCACGCGAUCCCAAUCAUAGUAUCUCGUGGUAGGUGUGCCACACGAUCCCAAUCAUAAUUCUCGUGGUCGGCGUGCCACACGAUCCUAAUCAUAAUAUCUUGUGGCCGGCGUGCCACACGAUCCCAAUCAUAAUAUCUCGUGGUCGGCGUGCCACACGAUCCCAAUCAUCUCAUGUUCGGCAUGCCACACGAUCCCAAUCGUAAUAUCUCGUGGUCAGCAUGCCACACAAUCCCACUCAUAAUAUCAUGUGGUCGGCGUGCCACACGAUCCCUAUCAUAAUAUCUUGUAAUCGGCGUGCCACAUGAUCCCUUAUCUUUCAACAUAAAACACAAAGUAAUCCCAGCAAGGGAGGAAAAAUAUUAUAAUAGACUAUCCCAGCAAGGAAGAUCCAGCUACAACCAAACACAUUCAAUUUCUACUUAACAUAAUUAAAUUCAUGCUUAGUCUCAACAAUUACUGGCUCAGUAUUAUACAUUUUUAACGAAGUCCUCAUAAACAACAAUUAAGAAUUCCAUAAUUUAACAAUUUAGGGCUCACGGUCAUACUCGACUCCAGUGUAUAGAUACUCGUAAUCAUGCCUUUACACUGUACUCAACAUUUAUCAAUUAGCAAAUAAUACUCUAAUCCUAUUCCCUCAAGCCAAAGUUAGAUCAAACCCGAUCCAAGAAUAACAAUCAACUCUCUAAUAUCACCUUUUCUCUACAAUCUGACUCCGAAACAACGAUAUUUAGGAAUAUUUGUUCAAUAAUAUCAAUAAGGGCUCAAAAAAUAUAAUCCCAUAGCCUAGAAAUGAAAUUCCUAACAUUCUUCCGGAAUACCAAAGUUCAAACCCGGGCCCACAUAGUCCAAACUAGAUCCUCGGACCAAAACCCGAUCACCUAUAACCCUACGAGUUCAAGUAUAUAAUUUAUUUCAAGAUUCGAUCCCAAAUUGAGGUUGAAAUACCCAAAAUUUCCAAAACCCUAACUCUACCUAAAACCCCCAAUUUUUACCUUGAAUUCAUGAUUUAAGGUUACAAAAUUAGUGUAUGGAUGAAGAAAUUAAGAGAGAAUGUGGUUAAGAACACUUACCCAAGAAGUUAUGGAGGAAGAGGAGCUUGAAAAUCGCCUAUGGGGUGUUGGAGUGAAGAGAUCAAGUGAAAUAAUGGCUAAAUCCCACAAUAAACACUGUUUUGUUUUGAAAAUCACAGAAGGAAAUUAACUCAAUGCGUUCGCGACACCGGGGUCGUGUUCGCGAUGAAGAAAAAGGGCAGGCAUUGCGUUCGCAAAAGAAAUACUGCGAAUGCGAAGAAGAAAAAUCUAGGCCCAAUACUUUUGGCCUAUGCGUCCGCGUUUGCCUCACACGAACGCGAAGAGGAGCAGACCAAAACUAUGCGAAUGCGUUCAGUUGACCGUGAACGUGACGGAAGGGCGAGGGGAAGCUACGCGAAUGUGAGCGUAGGGCCGCGAACGUGUUGAAGGAAUGCCUGCUGCGAUUUUCUGCAAUUUUUCUAAGUGUAAAAUCACCCGAACCACCUCCAAAUCACUCCUAAGCCCUCGGGGCUCCCAAUCAAACACACACGCUAACUCAAUGACAUCUUAUGAACUUAGUCGAGCAAUCAAAUCGCUAAAAUAACAUCAAAAUCAAUGAAUCAAACCUCAAAAUCAUCAUUUACAUUUCAAACUUCUUAAACUUCUAACAUUAGAUAUUUAGGUCCGAAACACGUCUAACGAUGUUCGAUUUCGAUCAAAUUUCACAGAAUGUUUCUUAACGCAUAUUUAAUACCUGUACCGGGUGCCGGAACAAAAAUACGAACCCGGCUCCUAUAUUUUCUAACUCAUUUUCAUUUCAAAAUUUCAUAUCAUUUUCAGAAAAAUAAUUUCUUUCAAAAUUUCUUUACUCGGGCUCGGGACCUCAGAUUUCAAUUCCGGGAAUACGCUCGAGUCCCAUAUUUUUCUAUUGGAUUCUCUGGGGCCGUCACAUCACGGGUUUGGGUUCGUUUUCCCAAAAUGGUUACUGAAGUCAAUUUUAACAAUAUUAAUAUCAAAAUUCUUCAAAUUUUACACAUAAUUCACACAUUUCAACAUAAAAACUUAACGGCUUUGAGCCCGGAUUGCGCACAUAAAUUGAGAAAAUGAAACACGAGAUUUUUAAGGCCUCGAGAGCACGAAAAAAGGAAGAAUUAUGGUGAUGACCCAAACAUAAAUAAUUUAACUUCGUGGUUUUCUCGCUUGAUGCCUAGACUGCACACGCAAAUCAAGGAAACUAAAUGUGAGAUUUUCAAGGCCUUGGAAGCACAGAAAAAGGAAGAAUUAUGGUAUGACCCUUUGGGUGUCACAUUCUCCACCUCUAGAACAGUUGUUGGUCCUCGAAUGGACAAAAGAAAGAGUACCUGAGUGGGGAAAUAAAUGAGGAUAUCAUCUCUGCAUAUCAGCCUCAGACUCCCAGGUCGAUGCCUCAGGGGGCUGACCUCUCUACUAAACACGCACUGAAGGAAAACUUUUCGACCUCAACUGUCGAACCUGCCGGUUUAAUAUAGCCAUCGCCUCCUCCUCAUAUGACAAACCCUUGUCCAAUUGAAUAGUGUUGAAAUCUAACACGUGCGAUGGGCCGCCGUGAUACUUCCGGAGCAUAGAUACAUGAAACACUGGAUGCACAACUGAUAAGCUAGGUGGCAAGGCAAGUUUAUAAGAAACCUCUCCCACACGAUCAAGAAUCUCGAAUGGAUCGAUGAACCUAGGGCUAAGCUUGUCCUUCUUCCCAAAUCUCAUCACGCCCUUUAUAGGCGAUACACAGAGAAAUAGUCGCUCACCAACCAUGAAAGGAACAUCUUUGACCUUGCGGUCGGCAUAACUCUUCUGCCUGGACUGAGCUGUAAGAAGUAUAUCCUGAAUAAUCCGCACCUUAUUCAAGGCCUUCUGAACCAAAUUUGUGCCCGAUAACCGUGCCUCUCCCGGCUCAAACCAUCAGACUGGAGACGGACACGGCCUACCAUACAACGCAUCAUACUGGGCCAUCUGAAUGCUGGACUGGUAGGUGUUGUUGAAGGAAAACUCUGCUAAUGGCAAAAACUGGUCCCACGAGCCUCCAAAAUCAAUAACGCAGGCUCGGAGCAUAUCCUCGAGANNNNNNNNNNNNNNNNNNNNNNNNNNNNNNNNNNNNNNNNNNNNNNNNNNNNNNNNNNNNNNNNNNNNNNNNNNNNNNNNNNNNNNNNNNNNNNNNNNNNNNNNNNNNNNNNNNNNNNNNNNNNNNNNNNNNNNNNNNNNNNNNNNNAUUAAGAAGGAUCUAAAUAGUCCUCUCGGAUUGACCGUCUGUCUGGGGAUGAAAUGUUGUACUCAUUUGAACCUGGGUGCCCAACUCUCGCUGAACCGCUCUCCAGAAAUGCAAGGUAAACUGCGGACCUGGUCCAAUAUGAUAGAUACAGGCAACCCACGAAGGCGAACGAUCUUCCUUAUAUAUAUCUCAGCUAACCUUUCAGACGAAUAGGUGGCUGCAACAGGAACAAAAUGCGCUGACUUGGUCAGCCUAUCAACAAUAGCCCAAACUGCAUCAAACGUUUUCCGAGUCAUCGGAAGGCCAAUAACAAAAUCCAUGGUAGUCCUCUCCUACUUCCACUCAAGAAGCUCAAUCCACUAAAAUCAACCACCGGGUCUCUGAUGCUCAUACUUAACAUGCUGGCAGUUCAAACACUGAGCCACAUAUGCUACUAUAUCCUUCUUCAUCAUACACCACCAAUAGUGCUGCCUCGGAUCCUGAUACAUCUUCGUGGUGCCCAGGUGAAUAGAAUACCGAGUACUAUGGGCCUCCGCUAAGAUUGACUCUCGAAUCGAUAUUUGGCACACAAAGUCGCCCAUGCAAUCUGGAUAUACAAUCAUCUCCCAAGUCACUUUCUUGGCACCUCCAUGCUGCACUGUGUCUCUCAGGACACACAAAUGGGAUCCCCAAACUAUUGCUCACGAAUACGCUCCAAUAAUGAAGAUCGAGAAACCGUGCGAGCUAACACUCUGCUAGGCUCAGAAAUAUCUAACCUUACAAGACAAUUGGCCAAGGCAUAAACUUCCAAAGCAAGCGAUCUCUAGCUGAUUGGAAUAUAAUCAAGACUACCCAUGAUGGCGAACUUCUUACUCAAUGCAUUGGCCACCACAUUGGCCUCUCCGGGUGAUAUAAGAUAGUAACAUCAUAAUAUUUUAGCAGCUCUAACCACCUCCUCUGCCUCAAAUUCAACUCUUUCUGUUUGAAUAGAUACUGUGGACUCUUGUGAUCAGGGUAAACCUCACACGUCACACCUUAUAGGUAGUGCCUCCAAAUCUUCAAGGCAUGAACAAUGGAUGCCAACUCAAGAUCAUGAACUGGAUAAUUGUUCUCGUGGAUCAUCAAUUGCCUUGAAGCAUAGGCGAUGACCUUUCCAUCCUGUAUCAAUACUACACCAAGUCCAAUACUGGAAGCAUCGCAACAAACUGUAUAAGGCUCUGAACCUCUGGGCAAAACCAGUAGCGGUGCCGUAGUCAGAGCUGUCUUGAGCUUCUGAAAGCUCACCUCACACUCGAUUGACCACCUAGACUAGCACACUUCUGGGUCAACCUGGUCAUCGGGGCUGCAAUGGAUGAAAACCCCUCCACGAAUCGAUGGUAGUAACCUACUAAACCCAAGAAGCUCCGAAUCUCUGUAGCUGAAGCUGGCCGAGGCUAGUUCUUGACUGCCUAUUUCUUCUUCAGGUCCACCUGAAAACCCUCUGUGAUACGACAUGACCCAAAAAUGCAUCUGAACUUAACCAAAAAUCGCACUUCGAGGACUUAGCAUACAACUGACUAUCCUUUAGAGUCUGAAGAACCACUCUGAGGAGCUGCUCAUACUCCUCCCGACUACGGGAGUAUAUAAGAAUAUCAUCAAUGAAGACUAUCACGAUCAAGUCUAAAUACGGCCUAAACACUUGGUUCAUCAACUCCAUAAAUGCUGUUGGGGCAUUAGUCAACCCAAGUGACAUGACCAAAAACUCAUCGGCGAAGUAGUGACGAGGCUAGAACUAGACUCAAGAUAGACCUGUGCAGUUUUAUAUAUAUAUAUAUAUAUAUAUAUAUAUUGAAAGAUAAGUAAUCAAUAUAUGAGGGGGAGCAUGCUAUGAGGGAAAAUAACAAUUUCAAGUAAAAGUCGUCCAGCAACGAAGGAAACAACACAACGCAGGCAUUAAAAGAAAUAGAAAGCAAUAAGUGCACGGCAUCACCCUUCGUGCUUUUACUCUCACCUUCACCAAGCAAUGAUAUACUAAAACGUGCACGGCAUCACCCUUCGUGCUUUUACUCUCAUCCUCAUCAAGCAAUGAUAUAAUAAAACGUGCACGGCAUCACCCUUCGUGAUUUUACUCUCAUCCUCACAUAUAAUCAAGAAUCGGCACGGAAUGGCACAUCGUGUGGCACGGCAUCACCCUUCGUGCUUUAACACUCUUUUCUCAUAAUAGCAAACAAUACACGACAUCAUCCUUUGUACUUUAACACUCUUUCUCACCCAAAUAACAGUCACCAAUAAGGGGCAAGGGAGUAAACAAAACAAAGGCUACCAUGAAUAACAAAGGAAACUACAUUUGAUUUCUACAAACACAGAAUAAGGGAAAAUGAACUACUUUCACUUGUUCAAAUUCCUCUCGUUGCAGGCGUGCAACACAAUCCCAUUUCCUCAUGUCAAGUGGUAAGCAUACCAUACGAUCCCUUUAUAUAAUAUUACGUGGUCGGCGUGCCACACAUUCCCAUUUCAUAACAUCUCACGGUCGACUUGACACACGAUCCCAAUCAUAAUAUCUCAUGGUUAGUGUCCCACAGGAUCCCAAUCAUAAUAUUUUAUGGUCGGCGUGCCACAUGAUCCCAAUCAUAAUAUCUCGUGAUCGGCGUGCCACACGAUCCCAAUCCUAAUAUCUCGUGGUCGGCGUGCCACACAAUCCCAAUCAUAAGAUCUCAUGAUCGGCGUGCCACACGAUCCCUUAUCUUUCAGCACAAAACACAAAGUAAUCAUAACAAGGGAGGAAAAAUAUUAUAAUAGACUAUUUCGGCAAGGGAGAUCUAGCAAUAACCAAACUCAUUCAAUUUCUACUUAACAAAAUUAAAUCCAUACUUAGUCUCAAAAAUUAUUGGCUCAGUAUUACACAUUUUAACCAGUUCAUCGUAAAAAACAAUUAAGAAUUUGACAAUUUAACAAAUUAGGACUCACGGUCAUACUCGACUCCAGUGUAUAGAUACUCGUCACCAUGCCUAUACACCAUACUCAACAUUUAGCAAUUAUGAAAUAAUACUCUAAUUCUUUUCCCUGAAGCCAAUGUUAAAUCAAACACUUAUCUUGGUCCAAGAAUAGCAAUCAACUCUCUAAUAUCGCUUUUCCUCUUCAAUCUGACUCUGAAACAACGAUAUCUAGGCAUAAUUAGUUCAAUAAUAUCAAUAAGGGCUCAAAAAACCAUAAUCUCAUAGCCUAGAAAUGAAAUUCCUAAAAUUCUUCCAAAAAUACCAAAAUUCGACCCCGAGCCCACAUGGUCCAAACUCGAGGCUCAGACCAAAACCUGAUCACCCAUAACCAACGAGUUCAAGUAUAUAAUUUAUUUCAAGAUUCGACCCCAAAUUGAGGUUGAAUCACCCAAAAUCCUCAAAGCCCUAACUCUACCAAAAACCCCCAAUUUCUACAUUGAAUUCAUGAUUUAGGGCUAGGAAAUUUGUGUUUAGAUGAAGAAAUUAAGAGAGAAUGUGGUUAAAAACACUUACCCAAGAAGCUAUGGAGGAAGAGGAGCUUGAAAAUCGCUUAUGGGUGUUGCAGUGAAGUGCUCGAGUGAAAUAAUGGCUAAAUCCCGUAAUGAAUACUGUUUUGUUUUUAAAAUCACAUAAGGAAAUUAACUCUAUGCGUUCGCGACACUAGGGUCUCAUUCGCGAUGAAGAAAAAGGGCAGGCAUCGCGUUCGCAAAGGAACACUACGAACGCAAAGAAGAAAAAUCCAGGCCCAAGACUUUUGGCCUAUGCGUCCGUGUUUGGCCUCACGCAAACGUGAAGAGGAGCAGACCAAAACUAUGCGAACGCAAUCAGUUGACCGCGAACGCGAAGGAAGGAGUGAGGGGAAGCUACGCGAACGCGAGCGUAGGGCCACGAACGCAUUAAAGAAUACCUUCUGCAGAUUUUCUACAAUUUUUCUAAGUGUAAAAUCACCCCGAACAACCUCUGAAUCACUCUCGAACCCUCAGGGCUCCCAACUAAACACACACACAAACUCAAUGACAUCAUAUGAACUUAGUUGAACAAUCAUCGCUAAAAUAACAUCAAAAUCAAAUAAUCAAGCCUCAAAAUCAUCCUUUUCAUUUCAAACUUCUUAAACUUUUAACUUUCGAUAGUUAGGUUCGAAACACGUCAAACAACGUCCGAUUUUGACCAAAUUUCACUAAUAGCGCUUAACGCAUAUUUAAGACCUCUACCGGGCACCGGAACCAAAAUACAGGCCUGAUACCUAUAUUUUCUAACUCAUUUUCAUAUCAUUUUUCGAAAAAUAAUUUCUUUCAAAAAUUCUUUACUCGGGCUCGGAACCUCGGAUUUCGAUUUCGAGAAUACGCCCGAGUCCCAUAUUUUUCUAUGGAGCCUCCGAGACCGUCACAUCACGGGUCCGGGUCCAUUUACCAAAAAUGUUGAUCGAAGUCAACUUUAAUAAUAUUAAUGUCAAAAUUCUUCAAAUUUUACACCUAAUUCAUACAUUUCAACAUAAAAGCUUUCCAGUCUCGUGGUCGGACUGCACAUGCAAAUCGAGACAGCUAAACGCGAGGUUUUCAAGGUCUCGGAAGCACGGAAAAAGGAUAAAUUACGGUCAUCACAGUCAGGACUAAAUCCUUCUAACUCGACCAAGCUACGCAUGCCACUAAAACCCAAGAGCAUUGUCGCGAAACACCUUUAGAAACUCAUUACCUCAUAAGCAUCCAAAUAACUAAUCAUAUACUUUCCAUGUCGAUCUGGCCUACUACCAAGCUAUCCCAGCUAUCCAGGUUCCUUCUGAUUUUCCUUCAACUUGAUACUUCUUCUUACUACAAAACCAAAAUCCUUAACCCAGACUUGCCACACGAGAUCCAAGCAUAAAACCACACCGUCUUAUGGAUCAUAAGCCGUUGAAUACUCUCUUAAAUAUUCCCAAACGUUCCAUGUUCAAGAUACCUACCCCGAAGUGACUCCCUGCAACCCCAAAGCCAUUACAUUCACCUUCCUGAUACUAACGUAUAGAAUCCCCUAAUGAUAUAGAAAUACGACAAGUCUUGACACCCUCAAAUGCAAACCUCAAUUUCUAGCAAAUUAUACAACUUGAAAAUCUCCAAUUAUUACAUGUAAAAUCUUGAACUCCCUAGAACAAUUUUCGAGAGUCAUGCACUCUACUCAAACCGCAAUUAGACCGAUCAAGCAGACCGGAAGACCAGUGCUCCAUUAGCUCCCUGACACCACAGAAUGUAACCUCAUCUUAAUACAACCAAGAAGCUUCCUACUCUAUGCACCUUAUAUCCUUUAUCAAUAACAACUCAAGUCAUUCAAUGAUUCUCAUACACCCAUAAAGCAUAACUUAACCUUUAUUGAAAUUUCCUUUACUCGAGACAUCCUCCGUCUUAACCUCCGUAAGCCAUAACUGAUUUACCCAUACGCCUCAAACUAGAAUCAACAUAGCCCAUAAUCGUGCAACUAACUAAUCAAUAGCAGACUCCACCACUUGGCUCAAAACCCUAGAUCAACAAACACAAUAGCUUAUAAUGCAUAUACUCUAUUACUUCCAUAAUACCAUAGUGAGAUUAAACUCAAAACUUCAUAACUCAUGAAACACAACCAUCUAGUACUUUAUAUCUUAUGAAAAUCUCGCAUUCACCCUCAUAACAAUUAAGACCACUCUCUUAGGAGACCCAAAUUCAAAUUGCCAACACAUAUAUUUCACUAGUGUAGAAGAUAGCCCAACUGCCUCGCCUCAAACUAACAUCUCAUUAUACCCUUCCACCAUCAUAAACAUUAUGCAGUCACUUAAUCUUCCUGAGUCUGAACUCAUCUCAUAACAUGAAAUAUACUUGACUUCCCAACUAGCCAACAUGAAAAGAUCCUUCAACACGUUUACAACUCGGGCCAUAUAUAAAAUCACAAUGGAAAUCAAAUACCGGAUAGUUCUUACUACCCCCAAGCAGACCCUUCUUGUCUCAUUCAAAUCACAUGAACACAUCUCGCAGGAACAAUAUAUUCAUCACAUAGCUAUCCAGCCAUCACUCUCACUAAUCGGGACACUAUCGAACAUAAUAAUCCAAUAUCACGUGCUCACACAAUCAACACCUCAAUGCUCAAGAUGUAGGCAAAACCCGGCCUCAAGUCCUCCAAACUGGCCCAACAUCAACAUACAGAGAUCACAUCUCGCCCCUCAAUUAGGGAAUCACCAGCCAUCAAUGCAUAUCUGAUACUAAGCGUUCAUAUGCGCACACGAACACAUGGAAGGAAUUUAAAGAGUUACAUUUCAAGCUGAAUGAAGGUUGCACGAUAAGAAUUCAAGAAUGUGAAGUUUUUCCUAAAGGUUCUGUAGUCUCCCGAGGAUAAGUACAAACUUUUUGUACCGAUUCGCGAGACUCUACUAUAGAUAAUCAUGACUCGUGAGACCUAUGUAACCUAGGCUCUGAUACCAACUUGUCAUGACCCUAAAACCUAUCCGGUCGUAAUAGCGCUUAUUGUGAAACUAGGCCAGCCGACAUAACUCUUGAAUUAACCAUUUAUCAAUAAUAAUCAUUUUAAGCCUUUAAUUAAUCAAAUGUCUCGUAAUGUAAGUCUAAAUGUAUAGUACAGAAAUAAUAUACAAGCCCGACAUCGGGAUGUCACAAGUCACGAGCAUCUACUAAGGUCUAAAUAUAACAAAGAGUCCAAAAAUGUACUAAAUACAGUCUAAGGAAUAAAAGAGGGAGGAAAGCAACGAUGCGAACAUCGGGCAUCGACAUUGCUAACUCCAAUGACUCUUCCACUAAGAAAUCAACACCCGCUACUGGGUUCAGAAUUACCUGAAUCUGCACACAAGAUAUAGGGAGUAAUGUGGGUACACGAACUCCGUAAGUAAAUAAAAGCAAAUGAAAGCUGAGCAGUAAGAAAAUAUGUAAUCCACAUCAUAACACUACACCAAAUGUAGAUCAUUUUCAAAGCAGUACACAAAAUCAUUUGCCUCGUAAAUCAAGCUCAGUUUUAGCAAAAAAACCUAUUUAAAACAACUUUCAAUUUUUCGGACGAGUGAUAAAACAGUGAGUAUAAAUGAAAGAAACAUAAACAGUCCCUCGAGCAUAAUAUGGAUCAAGAACAGCCCCCAGGAAAUAGCAUGAAACAACCACAACCCCUCGGGCAUAAUCAAUAUAUCACUCACUGAGGGUAUCCGCACUCACUGAGGUGCAUAGACUCCGGGAGGGGCCCCUUACGGCCCAAGUGCUAUAACAAGCCAUCCCAUGGAAUAAUCAAUAUAUCACUCACUCAGGGUACCUGCGCUUAAUGGGGCUGUACAGACUCCGGGAGGGACCCCUUACAACCCAAGCGCAAUUACAAGCCAUCUCGUGGAAUAAUCAAACAAACUCUUGGCCUCAUAUCAAGCCACCUUGUGGCGUACAACUCAAGCCUUCAGCCUUAUAAUCAUGGAUCAGAACAAUAUCGCUGCGGCACGCAGCCCGAUACCAUUAUAGCCUCACAACACUGGCCAUCGACCCUACUCAGUCAAAAAUCUCUAAAAGCCACUCGAGCACAAUAAAAUAUGAUGCUCAAUUAAAAAUAUCAUUUAAGAUGUCAAAACAGAGUAAACAUGGCUGAGUUAUGAAAAUAGUAGAAUAUAGCAUGACUGAAUACAAAUAUAAAAUCAAAACAGUGAGGAAUAGUAGUAAAAAUCCCCUAAUGGUCCAAAAUAGUUCGUGCGAGGACCAAAUAUGGCAUUUAGCACAAAACAUAGUAAUAAUUUCCAAAAUAAAAAUGAUAUAAAAUAGGUUUUAAUCAAAUACACGACUUAACAUUUGUACGGGAUGGACCAAGUUAUGAUUCCCAACGGUGCAUGACCCCACACUGGUCGUCUAGCGUGUGCAUCAUCUCAUGGUAGCGCUACACUGGAAAAUCUGGAGUUUCAUACCCUCAUGACAAAUACUUACAAUCAUUACUUACUUCAAUCUGGUCUAAACUCUAGUCUGCGAUGCCUUUGCCUCUCAACUCGACCUCCAAAUACUCCAAAUCAAACUAAAAGCAGAUUCAUACCCUCAAAAUAUGCUAAAGGGAACAAAGCCCAUUCGAAAAUAUCCAAUUAAACCAAAAAUCCCGAAAUUGGCCAAACCUGGCCCCCAGACCCACGUCUCUAAAUCCAACAAAAUUUACAUCAAUAGAAUCCUCACACCCUCACGAGUCCAUACACACCAAGAACAUCAAAAUCGGACAUCAAAUGGCCCCUCAAAUCCCCAAUUUGCACUCUCCAACUUCAAGCCCUAAUUCCCCAAUUUUUAGGCUUUAAAUUCCACAAUUUUUAUGUUUAAACAAGUAAGAAUUAUCAUAGGAUCGAGUGUACAGUUCAAAAUCUUACCUCCAAGUGUUACCCUUCGAUUCUUUCUUCAAUCCUUCUCAAAAGCUCCAAUAAUCGUUCAAUAAUGGAGAAAAUAGACUGAAAAUUGUGAAACCCACUUUUAAACGUUUGCUCUAGUAAACUUUCCUUUUUCUUGAACGAGGUCAAAGCCUCUUGUUCAUGAAGCACAAAUAAUUCACAGCUCAAAUUUCCUCUUAUGCUCACUCGAACCUACCCUCGCGAACGUGAUGCCUUACUCAGCUUAGCCUAUGCGAACGCGUUGCUUCAGUCGUAAACGUGAUGCUUUAGGGCAUGGUGUCCAAGUUUGCUUCACCCUUCUACGUGAACGCGAACCAUGCCACGCAUUCGCGAUGCCCAAUCAGACUCAACCUUCACGAAUGGAGGACAACAUCACGAAUGCGUAGGGUAACUAGCCUGCCUCACUCAAAAUCUCGUCGCGAACGUGAGGGCCCUCUCGCGGACGCGAAGAGCAAAGCUCUGCAACACUGAACUGAAGAAAUCUGCCAUUUUCAAAACAAGAAUUUGAUCCAUUUUACCACCCGAAACUCACCCGAGGCCCUUUGGGACCUUAACUAAACGUUCCAACAUAUCCCAUAACCUCAACAAAACGUGCAUACCUAAUGUGACAUUGGAGCAUCAAGAAUUGACUAUAUUUAUCAAGGACGCUCGCUCUAUUAUGCAUGUCAUUGUGGAUCCCAAACUACUCCUUCUCUACUUUCCAUUAGCAUAUCUCACUUUAUGAUGUAUCAGUCGAAGCAAGGAUUGUGAAAAGUUAGCUCAUCUCUCUUAAAAGAAUGUCACAAGUCCGCCUCUAAGUACCCUAAGAUUUCCCCUCAUGUAAAUCACCACUAAUGCUAGCUCACUCAACUUUAAAUCAUGUAGGGCACUUUCGGGAUGUAGUGAAGGUUUUUUGGAUCAAUGUAGGACUUGAUGGAAUAGAAUGCGUUCAUCUUUCCUAAGGCACUCUAUUUUCUCUUUUUGGCUCAUACUUUGUCGACUUUCGACAAAACUUAUCUCCUUCAAUUCGUUUAGCUUCUAAGCCUUCCAAAUAUUUUGGUACUUGUUAUUCAUGAUCGUAUGAAUUAUUAACUUCCACCGUAACAUGAAUAACUUACUUUAUAAAUUUUUCAGAAGAUGUUUUAUUUCUCAGCUUACAUCAAUUCACUUACGACGUACUCUUAAGUACGAAAACAUGGGGUGUAACAUACCAGUUCUGAUUUUGUCAUUAUCUUGAACCACAAUUCUAGGAAUUUCUUUCUUGAAUCAGAAUAUCAUAUUCCAAAAUUCUUCAUUUAGUUGAGAUGGUUGCAUAUCCACCUUUUACACUCCCCGUUGUCACGCCCAUAGCAUGUUCCAUAUUAUUCCCACCCUUUGGGUUCAUCAUCGUAUCACUUGGUAGGGCCCUCUUAGGACGAGUGUUAAAAGCUUGAAAAAUUUGACCUAACUGAAUUUUCAAAUUGCGGAUUGAAGUGUUGUAAGAGGCUAGUUGAGCAUCGGAGUCGGCCUUCAUCUCCAUCAUCUGUUUUAACAUGUUCUCAAUUCUACGCAUCUCAUUGUUAGAAGAGCUCGGGCCUUGAGAAGGAUUGAGAGGUGGAUUUCUUGGUUGUUGGAACAUCGGGGCCUUUGAAAACUCGACCCCUGGUUGUUGUUGUUGUUCCAUCCUCCUUGGUUUUUCCCUCCCCAAUAGACUUAAUUAUUUCCUCCGAAACUGCCUUGGUUACAUUGAUUAUUCCAAUUGCCCUGAUUAAGAUUGCCACCACUCCAAUUGCCAUGGUGAUUUUGGUUGUUCCAAUUUCCUUGAUUUCCUUGUGACCACCAUUAUUGUUGAUUUUUUCCUUGAGCAUUGUUUCUUUGACCUUGAUAAUUGUUGACACAUUGCACUUCUUCUUCUUGCUCAUUGGACGCAUCACCUUGGUCAUACCCACUAUCAUUUUGCAUGAAUUGUUCCAAACGGCUUUGCAGUAGUUGUCCUUUUUGUCGUCUCUUGUUCAUCAUCAUAUUCCCACCUUCCAUUGCAUUCAUUUGUUUCGGCCCUUGAACUUGUUGAAGCUGAUCUUUGGUCAAUUGGUUCAUUGUAGUUUUCAACUUAGCUAUAGCUUACCCAUGAUCAUUUAGUUCCUUAUGUAGGUGAAUGAGAUUUGGGUCAGCUUGAGGAACAUUGGCUCUACUUUUCCAUGCCCAUGAGGUAUCCUCCAUCUCAUCCAAAAUGUCACAAGGUUCGGCAUAAGGCCUGCUCAUGAAGUACCCACCGGCGAUUGAUUUACCACACAUUGAUUUGUUGUGUUGAUCCCCCUGUAGAAGGUCUAUUAGAUCAUGGCCUCAGUCAUACCAUUAUUCAGUCACUCUCUAGCCAUGGUAGGAUAUCUUUCUCAAAUCUCGUUCAAUAACUCAUUUGGCUCUUGCUUGAAUGCAAGAAUCUUAUCCCAUAAUGUCGUCGCCAUAUACCCCAUAGAGAAGAAUUUGAAAAUUGAAUUUUUCCGCUAACUCAUCCCAUGUAUGAAUGGAAUGAUUGGGCAGUCUCUCUAGUCAGUCCAAUGCCUUUCUCUGUAGAGAAAAGGGAAAUAGCCUUAACCUUAACGCGUCCUUGGAGAUAUUGGUUUUCUUUCUCCCCAGCAAGUAUCAACGAACCCUUUGAGAUGCUUGUAAGCAUUUUGACUUAGAGCCCGGGUGAAGAAUCCUCGUCGAUGUGUAAGCAUCAUGUUGGUGAUUAGGAAGUUGCCUGCCCUAAUGCGGCACGGGACUAUAGCACUUGCAUAACCCUCGUUCAGUCAGUGUGCUGUUGCUCUUGGUCGAGGUGGGGGAAGGGAGGGAACAUUAUCGUGAGGCGGUCGGCCUUGCCUAUUUGCUUGAAGUUUGGGUAGAACCUCAUCUCCAUGGUCAAUCAUCCACUUCCUCCCCCCAAUGGCACAUUCCUGAUGGGGUUGUUGUUGAGAUCCAUUCUCGUACCUAUAAUCACAUCAAAAAAACAAAGUUUGUGACUCGGAAGGAAAAGAAAACAAAUCACACAAAAACUUUUAUAUAUACUAAAUCCAUUUAACACCACCAACGGCGUCAAACAUUGAUGUCUCCCAAACUCACACCACAAAUAUAGGUUAUGAAGCGGUCGAAGCACUAAUAAAAAUCCAACGCCAGUCAAGGUCGAAUUCUCAGGGAGUUAGAAUUUGGAUUAGGUAUACACCUAGUGUGAAUGUAUGAUGUACCUCAAAUUACACUUCAGCAUUUUCAAUUUUUGUUCCUACUUCCUCAUUUAAGCUGUUGAUUGUAAUUGAAAAGCUAAAAGAUAAUAUUGUUGGUUUUGGUUGUUUUUCAAAUUGAUAAAAGGUCUAGGGUCAUGUCUUCCACCUAGGUGUUACCUAAGAGAUUGUAAACUCUAGGAAAAGUUUGAUUGGUCGGGGUUGUAAUAUAGAAAUCACACGCAAUUACCCACUCAAUACCUCUUGGUAGUUUGAGUGAUAUUGCCUAAUUUGACUUUCUCAAAUCUAAAUGGGUAUUGCACAAAAAAAGUGAUAAAUUCUCAAGUCGAGUCUUACUAUCUCUAGAUUCAAUCUUUUAGUUGGUGCUAUCAUUUCUUGAGUUUACCCCAAUUUCUUGUUAGCCAAAUUUUUCUAGACUUAGUCUUUCUUUAUCAAGUAGAGACUAAGCCAAUUAGGCAUGAAGAAAUGUUUGCAUCCAUUAAUUCUUGAAUUCAAGCAAAAACUAGGCUAAAUAUGACUAACCCAAUCACAAUCAAGCCCUAAAUCAAAUACUCAUUAAAACUCACAUUAAGGUUGGGCCAUAACCCUAGCUAGAAAUUUAGCUACUCAUGAAAAAUGAGGAAACUAAAGAACAAGCUAAGAUAGAAUUCAAAAUAGAUGUAAGGAAAGAAAAUCUAAUGUUAAAAUGAUAAACUAAUACAAUAUAUCCCAGUAUAGUAAAGAAAAACGACUCAGAUGCUCUCCAAAAAUAAAAUUUAACUAAAACUGACAAAAAGUUCUAUUUAUAUUAAGCUAAAAAUAUCUAACAAAAUUGCUCCUGCGGAGGUUGUGUGGCCGCACAAUUAUGUGUGCGGUUCGUACAUUGAGACAUUGCUUGACAGGUUCCAGUUUUUUGGCCGUACAAUUCUGGGGUGCUGUCGCACUCCUUCAAUUUCUGCGGACCGCACAUUUAUGAGUGCGGCCGCAUUCUUGCUUCUGCGGCUGCACAAUUACAGUGUGGUCCUCACUUCUUGAUUUUGGGCUUUGGCAUUGUGGGACGUCUGCGGACCGCACAUUUCUGAGUGUAGUCGCGCUCUUGUUAUGCGGCUAAACAAAAUUAGUGCGGUUCGCAUUUCUUGUUGACCUAAAAUCCCAUCUCUGAACUAUGUCUUCAGCUGCCGCACUAGAAUUAUAUGGUUCACACUUUGCAUAGCAUUUCUUGUUAGAAGCUUUCUUCAUAAUCUAUGGCCGCACACAAUAUUUUGCCGAUCCGCAAUGUGCCCUUUUAGCCUUGAUUUUGUCAUUAUCUUAAAUUACUCCUUUUUGAGUUGCUUUUUCAUCUUUUUGGUUCAUAUUCUAACACUCCUGCAAGCAAGUGCAUUUCAUUAAUUUUCAGAAAUACCUUUAAGCAAUUGUUAGCUAAAACGAAAGUAAAAGAGUGCAAAUAAGUGGUGAAAAUUCCUAUUUAUCAGUAAUGUGCAAUCCUUUUAAGUCUUUAACAUGAUGAUUGAACUAAUGUGUUUGUUUACAGGUCAUCGAGCAUCCCAGGUCCAAAAAAAUGAGCUCCUCGUCUCUGUGAAGAAUCAUUCAAGAAGGCA